UACGUAGGGUGCAAGCGUUGUCCGGAAUUAUUGGGCGUAAAGAGCUCGUAGGCGGUUUGUCGCGUCUGCUGUGAAAACGCGAGGCUCAACCUCGCGCCUGCAGUGGGUACGGGCAGACUAGAGUGCGGUAGGGGAGAUUGGAAUUCCUGGUGUAGCGGUGGAAUGCGCAGAUAUCAGGAGGAACACCGAUGGCGAAGGCAGAUCUCUGGGACGUUACUGACGCUGAGACGCGAAAGCGUGGGGAGCAAACAGG
rnacentral:rRNA from 1 species